AGAAGUGGGAGAAGAGAGGAAGAAACAACAACAUUGCUCUCACAUCAAUAGCAAGGGCCUCCCUCUCACACUGAGUGGCCAAUGCUGACAAGCCCACAAUAUCUGGUGUUGCUCAACCAUGGCUAAAGGGAAGUGUACCUUUUCCUGAUACAAGUCGGAACUCUAAGAUAUGUUUCUUAAUACUAUUCAUCUUCAUUUGCAUAAUUAGUUUCUCUGAAAGUGAUUCAGGCAUUAAGAUGCAUCUGCACAGGCUUUUUUCCUGCCUGCAAAGGUAAAUCCCUCUGGUGAGCUGAGCAUUAUAAAUUUAAAUCCAGGAUGUGGGCUUGGUUGAUGUACUGUACUUAGCAAGACAGGUACAAAUGAUUGGGAAGAAAAGCUUGCUCUGAAUCUUGCUGUGUUCCUAUACCCAAAGGGUUUUGCUUUAAAGAAGAUUACUAAUGUUUUAAGAUUAUCUUAAGGUAAUAUGUAAGUAAUUAAGGCACCAUCAGCAAAAGAAAGUUUUUUGAGCACAAGCAUUGCUUGACAGCAAUCUUAAAUAAUCCUGAGGAUGAUGAAAGUUCAAGAUGAACUUCUCAAGCAGAAGAGAACCGAGUAGCCAAAAGUUGUUGAUGUGAGCAUGACUUCCUGUGUAGGGGUAGAAGUUAACUUAGAAGCAAUUGGAACCUGGAGAUGUCAACGUCUACAGGUACUCUAACAUCUUUUAGAGCUACAUUAUUUACACUGCUUGUGGAGAGGGACUCAUGUCUAGAUCUUGCCUGGUUAAAUUGACUUUGCCCACUCAGCAAAACUGUUGUUUGUUUGUGGUUUUAUUUUAAACAUAUAAUUAGUAUUUCUCUCAUUUAAAACAUGCUCAGUUCUAAGCUCAGUUGUAUCUUUAAGAUUGCCUUCUUUUUUCAAGUUCAUCUCCCUCUAAAGGUUGCUGGGAGGUUGCAGCUCAUACUCUGCACAUCUGAAAGUAUUAGUUUACUCCUUGGUCCUGUGCCAGCUAGCCACCUUCCACAGAGCAAUAGUCCAAUACUGUAAAAUUCACUGGAAAUUAAACAAGCAUUUCAAGUUAUGCUCAUGGAAUCUGUGCGAGUGUACUAAAAGCAUGACCACAUCUGGAACAAACCUUUUGUCAAGAGCUGGCCUGAGGAAACAAGUUUCUGUAAGAAAAAGGGGGUUCUGAGCAGGCACCUCGACAUUCUUUCGUGCACAAGCUGUAAGUAAGAAAAAUUAUGUAUAAAGAAAGCUCUCUUCUGGCUCUGAAGAAGAAAGGGCAAAAGCUAACUACUGAGAAUCUUAAUUUACAUAACUUACAUACAUACAAUAACAUUUAUGCACAGUAUGUGGUCAGGAAUAAGAACAGACCACCCAGGGAAGGGGUGGAGUCACCAUCCCUAAAGCUGUUAAGAAAAGUAGACAUGGCACUUCAGGACAUGGUUUAAUCGGGCAUAGUGGCAUUGGGUUGAUAGUUGGACUUGAUAAUCAUAGAGGUCUUUUCCAACCUUAUUGAUACUGUGAUUCUAUAUGCAGCAAAUCAUAUUUGAGCUUUGUUCUGUGGAUCAGUGUGUGUUGUGUUGGACUCUGAUUUUUAAGAAGAAGCAGCAACCUCUUUCACCUAAACUGUGAUGGAGAUGCUCAGCAUAAUGGUUAACCUGAAUUAACAGCUGGUGUGUUCACGUUAAUCAAGUUUUAAGGAAACAAGGCAAUGCAAGUAUGGUCUCACAAGUAGAGUGAAGGUUUUUGCUGGCCAGUAGGCAUUGUGCUGGGGGGGCAGCUUCUGGGGAGUGCAAGAAUCCAUUCCAAACAGCUGGAACAGGAGAAAGCCUGCUUUGGUGAUUUAGCUACUAUAGUUUUUCCAUAGGUGCUGAAAUUACUUUGCCAGUUUGACGUCGCUCGGAUCAUGCAGCUUUAGAUAUCCAUUAUGCAGCUUAACAGAGAUAGUGGAAUCUUAAGUUUUACUUAGCUUUUACUAAAUGUUUUUUUGUUUAUUGCAGUUCAAAACCUUUCUUCCGUGUUUCCAGUAUCUCUUGGGAACUUGGCAAAUAAGGAAGAGCAUAUGGAAAAGAAAAAGAUCAGAGUUUUUCACAUUUGUUUUUGGAAACCUGGAAAUGAGUAACAUUUGAGAUGAAGUUUUACAAAUGAAAUUUACUUGAAAAGAAGGACAUUCACCUGCUUAGGAGACCAAAAGAUUUUGCCUGUAGAAGCCUAAUGUGACUAUUGCUGCUGACAUCAACAGUAUUCUUCACAAGUUUUACAAGGCCUGGCAUGAAUGUCCAAGAAAAGUCAGGUGAAGUCCCUGGAGAUUGGAAGAGGGGAAACAUUACAUCCAUUUUAAAAAAGAGUAAAAAAGAGGACCCUGGAAUUUGCCAAGCUGUCAGCCUCAUCUUUGUGCCUGGACAGAUGACCCAAGAGAUCGUCCUGGAAGCUGUACUGGAACACGUGGGGGACAGAGAGGUGACUCAAGAUAGGCAGCCUAGCUUCACUGAGGCACUCUAUGGGUCCAAAACCAAAAAAAGAUGUCUAAAAGAAGAUAAAGAAGAUAAUUAUGCUUGGGUCCUGACAACAUGAAAGGAGAUUCAGACCAAAACCUUACAUUCCUUGUAAAGCUGCCAAUCUGAAUUAGGUGCACAAGGAACGCUUCUCCCUGUGGCUGUCCAUGCUGAUGGGGAGAUCUCUCCUUGCAACCUAUGAAUAUCCAGCACAUGGGCAGUCUCAUGAAAGAGAUGUGGGUGAACUGAAUGCUAUCAACUGCUUCUGGAAUCAUAGCUACUCUUCUU